GCCCGCCGCGCGCGGCGGGCCUACGGGAGGCAGCAGUGAGGAAUAUUGGUCAAUGGGCGGAAGCCUGAACCAGCCAAGUAGCGUGCAGGAUGACGGCCCUAUGGGUUGUAAACUGCUUUUAUACAGGAAUAAAGUUAGCCACGUGUGGUUAUUUGUAGGUACUGUAUGAAUAAGGACCGGCUAAUUCCGUGCCAGCAGCCGCGGUAAUA
rnacentral:rRNA from 1 species